GCCUCUGUAGCUCAGUCGGUAGAGCGUUGCCUUGGUAAGGCAAAGGUCGGGGGAUCAUGCCCCCCCAGAGGCU
rnacentral:tRNA from 1 species